UACGUAGGUGGCAAGCGUUGUCCGGAUUUAUUGGGUUUAAAGGGUGCGUAGGCGGCUUUGUAAGUCAGUGGUGAAAUGUGGCAGCUCAACUGUCAGGGUGCCAUUGAUACUGCGGAGCUUGAGUACAGAUGAGGUAGGCGGAAUUGACGGUGUAGCGGUGAAAUGCUUAGAUAUCGUCAAGAACACCGAUAGCGAAGGCAGCUUACUAGGCUGUAACUGACGCUGAGGCACGAAAGUGUGGGGAUCAAACAGG
rnacentral:rRNA from 1 species